CUUGCAUACUAGCCUGAACACAUUGACACUUGUGCUAUCUCAGAGGCUAAGCAGGAUUCGCCUUGGGUAGUUCUUUGGAUGGGAGACCACCAUGGUACACAAGGGAUUUCUGAGA
rnacentral:rRNA from 1 species